rnacentral:tRNA from 1 species
GCCCGGGUGGCGGAACUUGGUAUACGCGCACGACUUAAAAUCGUGUCCUUCACAGGAUGUGGGUUCGAUCCCCACCCCGGGCA